rnacentral:rRNA from 1 species
GUGGCUACUAUGUAGUUAUCGAUGAAGCUCCUGAUCGACACCAAGUCUGAGAAGGUGUGCUUCGCAGAGGCAGGCAUCGAUGUCGUGUAGUUCCUCACCGGUCUACUGUCCCUGCCGCUUGGCACUGUUGUCAACCUGUUGACAAAGGAUCGCAUGGGCGGUAGCCUUGGCAACGUGCUCAGCAGCGCGGAGAAACUGGACACGAAAUACAAGAUUAAAGAGCGGCGCCUCAGCCCGGCUGUCGGCCCCACCACGCUCUCCUACCUACAGCAGCUGCUGAGUGCGCAGCUCAACAACGGAACGACACUCGCCCGCGACCCUGUUGGAACAACAACAGCCACGUCACUACCUACAUCCACGUACACGAUUGGGGACGACCUUUCGGUGACUCCGGCAUCUUUUUUUACGACUAUCUCGCUGUUGGGCAUCGCAGAGCUUGGCACCCCGGACCUCAAUGCACUGCAGCAAAAGACUGUGAAAAUCGGCAAAGAAGAGGUGCGUGGUGUGCUCUCAUUUAUUUCAAGACCCUAUGAACUUUAUAUUGUGGUUUUGCUUAAUUUUAUUGGUUGA